CUGAUCUCUCUGUGCGUCGUCGUUUUACACAACCUUAAACACCGCCGAUUACCCGCUGCAAUCUCCGCCCUUUAGAUUUAUACCAAUUUUCAAUAUCUUUAAUGGCUGACGGAAAAUUUGAUCUACCUGAUGAUCUCUUACCCUCUAAAAUCGGCCCUGACCACUCCUCCACAGGUUGGGAUGGGAACUUAGAGGAGAAAGGACUCACGGGGUUUGGAUGACACCAGAUUAAACCAACUUCCAAAAGCAGCAUACCUCUGUCACCACAAUGGCUUUUCUCUAAAGUGGCUAAUCCUAAGAUGUUACCUUAUGGAGU